AUUCUACGGCCCGGCUCUGCUCCUGGCCCAGGCGCCCGUGUCCGGUGCGGUCCCAUACGAGAUGGGUUCUCUGCCUUCGGUGCGUGUCGGCGCCUCUGCCAAGGCGGAGCGGACGGCGAAAGGUAGACCCAGCGCAUCUCCAGCUUCACGAGACUCACGCGGCCUUCCGUGGGCCGUAAUCGUCUGUCUCCCUCUGUGGCCGAAGUGACACACCGAAGCGAGUAAAAAGCUAAUUCCUAGAACAGUGUGAUGCACCCGGCCCUCCGUUGGCUUCCCGUGCCCUUUGUAGCUAAAUUUGGAAAAUCCUGAGUUUCUCAAAGUCCAAGAACUUUAUAAUGUGCACUGCUAGGCUAAUACCUUUACAACGAAUGCCCCCCAGCUUCCCUGAAUCGGAAUGUGAAAGUGACACACUGAAAACCAAGGCUAAGGGUUCUGUCCUUUCUUUCACGUGUUAAAAUGGUGGCAUCUUUUUAAUGCGCGAGGGAAAACGCAACAACAAUAAUAAAACACUCCUCCCAAAUCCUGAACAUUCAGUUAUGUCCAGAAAAUUGGGAUGAAGAUAGGACUUUGCUUUACCGCUCUGUACUGCGUUCGGGUUUUUUGUUUGUUCGGUUUGUUGUUUGGUUUUUGGUUUAGUUUGGUUCGUUUGUUUUCCAGAAAGGCCGAAAGCCAUCGUGACGUCGAGGCACAAGCUCCACUGUCCUAACAGUAGAGGUCGCAUGGAGUUCGUGAGACGGGCAUUAGCUGCCGCUGGAGCUGUACCCAGCCCACCGUAUUUUCACAAAUUAGCCAGACAAUACGCCUUCUCUUCGCAUCACUACUGGUCCGGGUCAGCCAUAAGAUCCUUCCUGUUAGGGACUUUUCUUUGAACUAAGAUGUAAUUAACGGGAUUCAUUACCCCUUUUAAGUUACCCUUGGUUUCUACGAGGGAUAACAGGUAAUAAGGACAAAGGGAAGUAAUGUAAAUUUUGUCAGUUUUAUUGAUUAUACACCCUCUAGGUGAAUUUUCUGUACCUGCGUUGCACGGUUGGAAGCCUUGUUUCCUGGCCUGCGAGUGCAAGUUUUGCUUUUGUUCUAUUCUUCAGCUUCCUGUGGAGAUUUUCAGAUACAAGCAAACAAAACAUUGCAUAACUCUGUGUGCAGCCCUUACCCGGAUGUGUGCAGCUUUAGGGUGUGCUUGGUAUGUCUCCUGCCUCCUCUUGGUUUGUGGGAGUCUUUCCUCCUAACAUAGUUUCAUAUGGGAGUGCCACGAUUUGGUAUUUAUUUCCAACGGGUAAAGGUUAUCACACCCACCAAAAAAUCUGCAAGGCUUUAUCCUCAAAGCAGUCUGUCUCAUGCGGAGUUUUUACUAAUGUGUCUCGGUGCUGCUCUAAACAAGGUCUGUAGACUUUACACUAUGAAUAACUUGAGAUUUAUAAAAAUGUUGUAAAGUUGAACCUCAGAGCCCUCAGUCCUCCCGGGUGCUAACGCCUUACAUAACCAUGAUAAACUGAGAAGAAAAGUGUUACUGGUGUGCAAGUAAAUGGGCAGCAGACUUAAUUAUGAUUUCAGUGUUUCUACUAAAGUCCUCUUACCAAUCCAGUAUCCCACAGUGUAUCUAGUCAUGUUUCCUCAGUUUCCCCAAGGCUAGGAUGGUUUCUCAGCCUUUUCCUUGUUUCAACCCCUUGACGUAAUUAUUGAGACCAUCAAUGAGGAUUCUCUGGGAAUAAUUCCCGCCUCCCCCACCUUGUCCUUGGCUCUUGAGUCUAGUCCCUUAUCUCACAGAAAGUCCUAUGCCUUGGAUAUGCCCGAUUUCUACCUUGUGAUUGGGGGAACUGUUUGUGUUGGUUUAUUUGUGGUUUGGUUGGUUGGUUGGUUGUUGUUGUUGUUGUUGUUUUAACAGGUGUUUCUUUGCUUUUCUCAAUGUCACAGCAGGAGGAACAGGAUAUCCAAAUGACCUCCUUGGAAAACAAUGGUUAAGGAGCACUGGGACUCUGACAGGACCUGGGUUCUCUCCGACCCCUUUAUUCCCCAUGCCCACUGCCCCACAUGUGUGUACACAUGUGCUUCUGCUUGUGAGCACGCAGGAGUUCAUUGUAGAGGGCAUCUCCCUUACCUGUUGUCUCUCUUUGAUUUAAAAAAAAAAAAUCUAUUCUUACAAACCCCUAUAUAUACAUGUUGCCUGACUUAAAGUCAGGUCUGGGUUACUGCCAUCAGUCCCAAUGUUCACAGAAAUGGGAAACGAGAGGGGUGGACCAGUGGGGACAACCUGUAACUUGGACUUCUUAGAUCACUCCUGUCCCUCCCAAGACACCUAGGACUCAUCGGGUCUAAUUUAGUCUAGGAGGUGUGUUUCUAGAUGCAUCCCUGGAGUACAGUGAAUGCAAGCCAAGAAAUAAUUUUUUCUUCCCAAUUUCAUGGUCUCAUCCUGACCUACAGCAGAUAAGUAAGGAUGAUUCCAUUUCUGUAUUCUCUCGAGCCCAUCCCCCUCUCCCUGCCGUAGAGUCGGGAGUACCCUUUUUUUUUUUUCUUCUCAAGACAGGGUUUCUCUGUAUCACCCUGGCUGUCCUGGAACUCACUCUAAAGUACCCUCUUAAUUAACCAUGCUUAGAGAGGAAUAAAAGGACAAGACCAGAGUUUCAGCUACCUUGGAUUCUGCACCGACUCAGGAUCACAGUCAGUUUGUGUGAGGUCACCAGUUUAUACCAAACAGGUUUCAAGGGGCCACGGACAGAACUGUCUUGGUCAGAAUCAGCUGAGUCUUGCAGACAUGAUUCUACUCCAGACCGUUUUGUCUCUAGAAGAGAAACUUGCAAACAUUCUGCCUUCCUUUUCUUUUCUUUGGGAAAGUAAAUGCUGUGUUAGAAGUUUGGACCAGAAUUCUCGGACUUCACCAUCUAUGGAUGCUUCGCUUUUGAUGUGUUUGCCUGUUUAUAAUCUAUUUUAUUUAUUUUGGAAGAUUUUCAUUAAUAAAAAGUAAUGAAGACAUAGCCUUGGGAUUUCUUUUUUCUGGCCCUCAGAUCAGAUUCUUAGAUCACUGGCAAAUGAAAAGAGGUUUCCUGUUAGUUUUGUUCGUAACUGUACUCACCGGAACAAAGUCUAUACACAGUUUGCCAGUGGGGACGUGUCCCAGCAAUACCUACAAGGGUGAGGCGCUUCUCAUACAAAUCUCAGAAUAGACUAAUAACAGGGAGGGAACGCCAGCAACCAGAGCAGUCAUCAUCAGGGUGUGACUGCCGGUUUCAGAAACAAUUUCCUUCUUAUAUUGAAUAUUUCCCAGACCAGGGGCUUAAUGGUUCAACCAUUAAGAGCACUGGCUGCUCUUCCAGAGGUCCUGAGUUCAAUUCUCAACACCCACAUGGCAGCUCACAAAUAUCUAUAAUUAUAGUACUAUGGGAUCUGAUGCCCUCUUCUGGAGUGCAGAAACAAAACACCCAUAUACAUAAAAUGAAUAAAAGAAAUAAAGAAAAUGUCCAGGCCCAAGUUCUGACAACAGGUAAGGAGUACCCUACAUAUUGUUCUGUCUCCUUUCAAGAAAAAUCUAUGGAAAUUUUUGUGUAAUUUGGUAAUCUCUGGAAAGACUGAUCAUAGAAUUUUAUUUUAUAUUACUACUACUACUAUUGUUGGUUGUUUUGUUUUUGAGACAAAGUCUUACUAUGUAGACAAGGUUAGU
rnacentral:lncRNA from 1 species